UAGUUUUUUUUUUAACUAGAGAAAUCUCACUGAUUGUGUAGAGCACUGGAAACCACAAAGAGAGCCAGUAUUCUUUCUUGAGCAUGAAGCCCGCUAUGGUGUUGCUUUACUGCAACUACCAUUUGCCAUUGAUGAUCAUUCUCCUGUUCCUCUGGGAGAGCAAGAGGGAGAGGACACAGUCUGAAUGGC
ensembl:snoRNA U3 Small nucleolar RNA U3